UCAGAACAGGGGAGGGACAACCACGGGAGCCCCUAACAUUUAGGGAGCAGUGAGCAUGUGACAGGCGCUGGUCUAAGCGCUCUCUGUCCAUUUGCUGAUUUCAUCUUCAGGACACUCCUAGGAGAGCAGAAGAGGAAAAGAGAAAUUUUGUGAUGGUAGCCAGUGAAGUCUCUGGGGCAUGGACCACAUGCAAGAUGCUUAUGGAAAGUAUUUGGAGAAAAGACAGCAGUGUGUGGUUUCCCAUGUCCUGAGCCAUGAGAUUCCACUUCAUCUGCAUGAUCUUCAAGCUGUAUCUCCUCAAAGCAACAUAGUGAUUCAACUCAACGGUUGUAUCUUGGGUACCAACUAGGUGAGAAACAUACCCAUCAAGAGAGUGGGAAUCACACCAGUGGACAAGACAUAGCAGCUUAAAGUCUAGGGACCAAGAAAAACAGGCAUAAACAACCCCAGUACAGUGAUUUCAAGACAAUGCAGAAGCCCCUAUUCCAGCUCCUGGAUCCAUCUUGCGUCUCUGCCAACUUCUUACAAACUGCUUCUUUCCUUUACUGCUUUUAAAAUAUCUCAAGUUGGAAAUAUCACAAAAUGGGAAACCCUGGUAUUAUCCAUCUUUAAUAGACAUAAAUGCUCAGAAAUCAGAGACAUUGUUAUAUUUUAAUGGUGAUUUCCUAUAUCCAACCUGCUCAUUAGGGAGCCAAAUUCACUGGCUUACCACCAAGUGCAGACCCUCAUGAAUCCUAGGCACAUAAACAUCAUUUUCAUUGGAAGGACUGAUGCUGAAGCUGAAGCUCCAAUACUUGGCUACCUGAUGUGACAAGCUGACUUAUUGGGAAAGACCCUGAU